UGGCAUGGGCAGGCACGGCGUAUUUAUACCCGUACACACAUUUUUUUAAAUGUAAUAUUAAACACUAGAGUGUGUUUUAAAUUAAUAUUCUCGGAUUGGUGUUUUGUUUUAAGAGUAAAGCCGGGAUUCGUAGGGACAAACUACACUCACAUCCGGUUUGCGACACGGCGUCCGAGUCUCUUCCGCCGGCUUCAAGAGGGGAGAUUAUUAAAUAUUUUUAAACGUGGAAUAAAAACUCUUAAACAUCCAAGAAAUAAAACACACGGAGCAGGAUGGCUAAGUUUCACGCUCCUGUUAUCCAGGAUAACCUGCUUGGAUGGGGGUCCCUGCGCCAUCCCAGAACAGUUCAAAGACAUGCCCUACCAGCCCUUCAGCAAAGGAGACAGACUGGGCAAGGUUGCUGAUUGGACUGGGGCCACAUACCAGGAUAAGAGAUACACCAGUGAGUUUCCUUUCUGAAAA